UGGGGGCUCUGUACAGGGGGGUUCCUGACCCCUGCCAGGGUCCCAGACCUUCCAGGGCAGCCAGAGGGAAACCCUGGAUUCCCACAAGGAAUGUGAAGGGUGAAUUGCAGCUGCUUUUCUGCAGAGCAGGAGCAUUCACCAUCUGCUGCACUGUUUUUCUGUGCUUAGAUGGGACAUAUGAAUCCAGCCAUUUGUUUAUACAUUUAACUUCUGCAAGCAUUGGCAGGAUUUCUGCCCAUUCAAAAGAAGAACGAAUCUUUGACAUAAUUAAUGCUCUUUGUAGUUUUAAAUGAAAUGUAGACUUUCAAAUGAAAAAUAGAACUCUAAAACUGAUUGGUGGGGUCAUCUGAGGAAUUAUUCUAACAGCAGAAAAGGUUUGUUGUAUAAAGCUAUUUGUUCCAAUUCAAGAAUGAAUGUACAGACAGACUCUACAUUUACAACUGCCUACAGCAUUAUCCAUCCUACAUGAAACUAACCACCUUGUUUUUUAAUCACAUCCAACUACUCCAGCUUCUAGGACUUUCACAUUCAAAGUCAAAAGCUGCAGUACCAUUAGCAUUCUUUUAUGUCUCCAAGUCUCAAAGCUGUGUUAUUUAGCCAAAGAAACUGUACUACAAUUUUUAUGAAAACUUCUCUUUAUUUAUUAAAUAUUUGAAUUGAUUUAGAACACCAGAAAAUAAGAGCCUACUGAACUCUCCAUUUAUUCCAGUCUAGAUUUGACCCAUUGCUUUGUGUGACAUAAGCAAUUAGUCUUGCUGAAACUCCUGUUUAAAGGUUACGACAAUUUGCACAGGACACGAGAGAACUUGCAAUGUCAUUACUGACAAGGCUGCAACCUUCUCUUGUUGACAUCUUAUCAAAUAAGCUCAUUCUUGUUUAAAUCUUGGCCUGAGUUACUUAAAAUGACACUUUUCCAUUGCCAGUGACUGAGUCAGCCAGUAAUUGCUGCUCAAAAUAAUAUAAAUUCAUAACAGUAAAUGAUAGGAGAUAGUUAUUUUUAACAUGUUUGACUUGGUUCCUGAAAUAUCACUCAGUGACACAGAAUAAUAACUCAAGGAAGGGUGAACCAGCUGGAAAGCUGGAGUGGAUUUACUCAUGGGAUUGACAGCACUGCAAGUAACAACACAAGAGGCUCUGCUGCCUCCUGCUUCCUUCUUCCCACUGUUGCAUCCAGAUUUGCCCAGGACCUACCCAAACGCUCACUGUGCAGGUCAGGUAGGUGCUAAAAUCUGUUUAAACAUCUGGAGACCUUGAACAGCUUUGAACAUGAGAUGAAAUGGCAAAUUUCUGGGGUUGGUCAUGCUAAUUUUCAUUUUUCCAUCUAACCAGAAUGUUUAAACAAGCCUUCAGAGGAGAAAGAGUGAAUCCUUUUAACUUUCAAGUAACUUCUUUCCAAAGCACAAGCUUGCAGACACACAGGUACACCCCUAAUAACACUCAGAUGUAGCAGAAGAAUAAGAAAGACUGAAUUUCUAUAUCAGAAAGACCAUGAUUCCAGAUCAAAUUGAGUUUUGUAGUUUUACAGAGCCUGUUGGCCAAUUACAUAAAUGAACUUUCCAUUAGUGAUAGCCAGAGGUUUAGCAUGUUCUCACAUGAUCACACAGCUUGGGUCAGUGCUCAUGUGGAGAAAUCCCUGUCCCUCCGGCACUCGGCUGGCUGCUCUGCUGUUUUGUAGGAACCAUGACCCUUGUGAGCUACCACUGACCCCGAGGGUGACGCAGGGCAGCCUUGCAGGAGCUGAGGGGAGCCACACACCAGUGCAGCUGCCAGAGAUGCUGAAGCUGACGCCAGUGACAAGGCUGCAUUUAGUCUGGGAAAGGCAGACUCCCUCAGGGGAGCCACAGGGACACAGAAGUAUUACAAACUGGUUUAAACAGAGGUGCAGGGUCUGGGCACCCCUUUGUUGGAGCCUUUGAUGGGCCAGGACACCCCCUCUGCUGUCCUUCACACGGAUUUCUCCCCGGCUGAAGGCUCCUCGGCUGAGCAGUAGCACAUUUCUUUGCUUUGGAAAAGGUAUUCUGCGUUUCUAGAGCAAAGAACACUCGUUCCUCUUCAUUAAUCAAUUAUUUAAUCAAUAAGUAUGUGAUAUGCCAAGAAGGAGUUCCAACUACAAGAUGGACACAGCAGGCACAGUUGGUUCUCAGACACUUUGCUGCUUGUGCCUGCCUGGCUCUGGCUUUUCAGAGCCUGGUUUGACUGACACUGAGCCCAAUUCUGUCUUACCAGACAAUAAACCAAGGACUAGAACCAACAGUCAGACAUAUUUCAGUUUGCACUCGUGUAUCUGCCUCUGCUCUUGACAGACAUACAGAGAAUGAGCUGACUGACCUAGUUAAAAUUGCCCAAUUAGCUGAGUGAAUGACAGUCUGAAGAAAGUGAAAAAGAGAAAUAUUCUAUGGAGGGAACUAUCAGGUACUCUGCUGAGAGUAGGGAGAAUCUCCCUUCUUAUGUUGAGACCAAACUCAAGUAUUUAGUCCUGUUAUUUCUACUAUUUCCUAUAGGAAAUUUAACAAUGCAAGUGAAAAGACCUGCAGUAAAAGGUGCUCUAAUUUCCUGUGUAUUUGUACCUGUCCUCAGAGAGAAACACUUAUUUCUGAUGCUAUUGUAAACCACAUUAGCUGGAAAACAAAACAGCAAAACCCUAAACAAGCUCAUAUAGUUUUUUUUAAUAUUAAGAAAGAAAAUACUAACUUAAAAUAUGCUUAAAAGCAUAUUUGUCAUAUGGUAUCACCUUCUGUGUUACUUGGAAAAAAAAAAAGACAUUUACCUUCUGUUUCCCAUUAUUAUCCUGAAGAACAUAAAGGUGCGACUUGAAGACAGCAGGGGAAAAAAAUAGUGAAAAUACAUAAAUAAUAACAACACACUGGUCCAAGAGACUGGGCCAAAGCUAAUUACACUGGCCAGUUAAUUACUUGAUGGCCAGAAACUGCAAAGGAAUAUUUGCUCUUCAGGAUUUGGGCAAAAUGACAGAGACUGAGAGGGGACAAAACAAAAACCCCAGCUGAAAAAAAAAAAAAAAAAA
ensembl:lncRNA